UAACAUAUCAAAGUAGACUGUAGC
rnacentral:piRNA from 1 species